UUCCCUGUUCUGAACGGAAACAGAGUUGAGAUUACAGGGGAAUAAGAAUUCCUGAUCAUUUUGUUCUUUUUGGAGAUAUGAGAUGAUUGGCUCUUUGCAGGAGAGUGGAGAUCCACCGAGCUAUAAAAAAAGACUCUGAAAGUAAGCAAGCUUAAGGUAUGGUUGGUCGGUGAAGACCGCCACCUUCGCGCUCUCGCCCAUGGCGUUGAGCUUAGAAAAAGACUGGAGUUGCGUGGAGAGCAAGAUGCAGAAGGCUGCAAUUGGUGUUCGGUGAGUAGAAAAGAAUCCCUCUUUCGGAGACUGGAAUUGGGAAGCGGAUGCACACGCUGUGGGUCUGCUUUCUCUUCCAUGAACAGUUGGUCUUUCACUGAUCCUUCGCUUGGAUCAGACUUUUCUUCGUUGAACUUUCGGAUACUGUGGUCAUUGUUAUUGCCCCUAAAUGUGGAAUCUGUAAUGCCCUACGUAGGUCGUAUGCACACACAUACAUGUAUCUUUAAAUGCCUUUUAUAACGAGAUAAAGAAGACCUAAUUGGAAGCUUCCGACUCCUUUUCUUGGAUGCGGGCCCGGUGGUGGUCUUUGGAGACGCUUCUGCUGGUUGCCGCCGGCUCAAAGCAGCUUCCGCCUUCGUGUCGUCGUCACGACAGUGAGCGGACCCGCCAUUCCCCGCAGCCACGAUUUGUGUGCCGUCGCCUCACCUCGCGGAUGGGGACACGGCUUGCUCUGGAAGGAGAUGAAGCAUGGCUAUGGUUCACAAGCACAAUCAAUGAGAAAGCAAACACAAAGUUGGAUAACAAAUUCAAUCUGAAUGAGAGCCAUUCCACUGCAGAAAUAUUAUGGAACCAUGGCCUUGAGUGAUUAUCUAUGAGACUGAGGUUUGUAUUGCUGAAACGGUCUUUCUGCCCAAAUGCUCGAAUAGUUACAGCACCAGAGAGUGAUUCUCCAAAAUGAUGAAGGAUCGGAGCUUUCUGGAUUUCUGACAACCGAGCCAACUCUCUUGCAGUGGAUGGCGUUGAGUCAAAGAAGGACAUUGGGGCACGAACGAUAGAGUGGAGCAUCUUUUGGAAAAAAAUUUGAGAUGUCAAAAGGCCCGUUUUUACAAGCAGAGUUGCUCGGAUCAACACACACACUGAACAUCCAACUGAAAGAAGUAUAUACACUAAGAAGAGAAACUUGAGUCCCACCGUAGACUCUGUAGUUGUAGAUGGAGGAGAAGCCCAUGCCAUCCAAUAGUUGCUUGCUACUUGCAGUACCUGGAAAAAUGCUUGUGCUAUGACUAUUAUGGGAACCAAGGCACCUCCUCGUACUGCAGUCAGGAUAACCUUGAACAGUUGAGUGCCUGUAUGAGCAUCCAAAGCGCUGAAAGGGUCAUCAAGAAGGUCCCCGUUAGCAAAGAGCUCAAAAUCCUUCUUCAGAGCACAAACCUCAAUUGUCUUUUCAUACUUUUCAUUGUCAAAAGGAUUUCCAAAGACAAUAUUUUCUCUAAUAUUUCCUGACAGUAUCCAUGGGGAUUGUGAAACAUAUGCUUUGUUGCCCCUAAUUUUUACUCUCCCUCCAAGCUUUGGUAUUUCUCCAAGGAUGCAUGAGAGUAAACUAGACUUUCCCGAACCAACAGGACCACAAAUAGCCACCUUCAUUCCCCUAUGCACCUUCAGCUCUAUAUUUUCAAGUGUGGGGCAUCCUGAGUCUUGGUUCCAGCUAAAUGUCCCACGAUCAAUCUCAACAUCAACCUCUGCUUCAUUUCUGGGAGCAAUUUCAACCGCAUCAGCUCUCAUUUCGUCUUCUUGGAGGUAUUUUGCUAUUCUGUCAGCUGAAACUUUUCCUUGUGCAAGUACUGAAAGCAGAUCGGGGAGAGUAAAGAUUGGUUCUUGCAGCAUUCUGAAUGUUGCCAACGCAGACAAAACUCUUCCUGCAGUUAGAGGGAUUCCUAUGAUUAUACACGUUCCAAAUGUCACCACUGAUAUGAACAUCGGUGCUCCCCAGAAUAUAAAAGAUGAAAUUGCUUGCAAUCUUAAAGACAUCCACAGCCAAUUGUGCUCAGUGUUUCUCAGGUCUUCUAACUUGCGAAGUUAAGGGAAUAUUGCAUGUCAUUAUCAUUGUUGUUGCUGCUAAUCCAGCCAAAGCUCCAACUCCAAGAUUUUUAUAAAGAACAUAUAUUGCUAGUGCAAUCUGGACGGGAAGCAUCCAAAUUAUGUUUGAAUACCAUAUCAGGUCGGUAAUCCUUUGGAUAUCCACACUCAUGUAGUUGAUAAUCUCCCCACUCGUAUGGCUCUGCCGAGACUGACUUGAUAAAAUGAGGCCCUUUUUGUAUAUAUGAGAUAUUAGAACAGCUCUUAAGCGCAUUCCAAGCUGUCGAGCUCCAAAAAUCCAUUGUCUCUGACACACAGUCUCUACAACUUUGGCACUGAGAAAUGCAAGUGCAAGUACGUAUCCACUCUUCAAUCCAUGCUUCCUGUCUCCUCCUAAGAACUUAACAAAGUUGUCAAUCAGUGAAGGUCCAACAUAAGAGGCCCCUGCAGCUGCAACUGCAAAGCUUGCAUUAAUCACAGCCUUCUUCCAGAUGAACAUGAAGAUUGCUCUGUAGAUUGAUGAAGUUCUCAAGCCGUAUCUUUCUUUGACGUUAUUCAGGCAACAGUUGAAUGAGUGAGACAAGAACUCAGCAUAAUCAUUUUUAUCAAUGUCUGGUACGUCAUUCUGCUCUAGAGGUUUCAUCUUUCCGGUAGUGAAAAGUGGGUUAAGCCAUGAGAAGGUCACAAGUUGUAUAAGACUUGCACUCCUGUAAAAGGAGCUCCUCUUGUUCUCAGCAUGCUUCUCCUUUGAUGUUUGCACUUGCAAUAAUGGUUCUUUAAGGCUAUUGGCAUCGCAGUUGAUCCCUGUUGUACCUCUGACUGAGAUAACAAAGAGUAGCAUGCAAGGAAAGAGACUUAUUAUCUCUGUAUAUUGUUCUACUCCUAAGAUUGACUUUGCUAGAAGUGUGGAGCGUAUAUCAAGAGCAGUACAGAUAGCUGAUUGCAGGAAGCUGCAUAUGAACCAUGUUCUUAUUAUCCAAGAAAGUUUUACAGAUCUAGCUUGUGGGAGAUUAACUAUGACAGCAACCAGAAAUAUCCAUGAUAUCAACUGUGUUGUCUCAGCUACAACUGAUACAAUGUACUUGCAAUUGCCUCCGCUUCCUUCUAGCAGAAAGAAAACAAGUCUGAACAGGUUGAUGGCCAAUAUCAGGGAGCAACAAACUUUAGCAGCUUGGUAUGUCGAUCCCAAGCGUAUAUGAUCAAGCUUAUGCUCAUCAGUAGUGCAAUUUUGCAUCUCUUCAGCAAUAGUCCUGCUUUCUUUUUCACAUGAUUUGUGUAAUAUUUUCCAUAGGAGUUGAACCAAGAAGCAACUGAUAAAGAUGAGAUUGAGAAAUGCAAAAACAUUCUUCCAGAAACAAAGGACGCUGAUAUCUUGCCAUCCUUUCCAAGAUUGAAGUGAAUGGAAAUCUGCAAGUGCAGCAUGAAGUACCUUUUUCAGUUUGUAAUGAACAACAGUUUUGUAGCUACGACAGGAGAGUGGAUAUCCACCGAGGCAAAGGCAACAAGAGACUCCAGAUGACAAAUCAUGUCCCUUCUUCUUGCAUGCACAUGUUUCUUGGCUUAACCUGCUUUCUGCAAGUGUUGCACUACAGCUGGGCCUCUCUGAGCCUUGGGCGCCAAGAAAUCCAACGCAUGGAAGUGAGCUUAAAUAUAUGCUUUGUUGGUGGUGAUCACUAUUUCCGUCAUCUCGAUGGCACUGAGGUUAGAAAAAGACUCGAAUUGCGUGGAAAGCAAGAAGGUGAUGCUGAAAGCUACAGUGUUGGAGGUGCAUUUCCUCGUCAGCAGUAUCAAGUAAGUCGACUGUUCUGCUGACUUUUAGACUGGAAUUGGCAGAUGGAUCUACACACUUAAGCAGGUUCUGCUUUCUCUUCGAUGAACUUUCAGACACAACAUACCUUACAACUGAUAGCAAAAGUGUGAUGUGACACCAAUACUGUGUCGAGUGUCUGAACUGGUACAUUCUCGGCCAUGAUUGAAAUGUGAUCACUGCACUUGCCUGCUAUAAGACAGAGAACCUUUAGACCAUCGUGCACCAUUCUCUCGCGUGCAGGCGGGAAGUGGGAGACAGAGAGCCAUGGAGCAACGCUGGAAGAUGGAAGAACCAGGCAAGGUGACAGUCGCUCAUGGAUCGAUCAUGGUGCUGCCCACUACCAAUCUCUUGGGAAGAGAGAAUCCUCACAGCUGUACUCGACUCCUGGGUCGAUCACGGUGACACCAAUUUGGCAAAGCUGACAGUGGAACUGCACCUAUUUGGCAAGAGAGGGACAAGUGCAUCAAAAAGGUGACAGCCUGAGAAGGCAAAUAAAAUAUAUGUUUCUGGUCGCAAAUCGUCUUACAUUAUAUAGUAUCUAUUAUUUCUUUGAAGUUUUAAUGCCCACAGAGAGAUUAUAUUCAGUAUCAUAGCCAUUAUAUUCAGUAUCAUUACGGGAGGGACUGCAAUGGCAUUUACCAGACGAGGCCCAUGUCUGGAGGCGCCCGGCCCGGCCCGGCCCGGCCCGGCCCGGCCAUCAUGCCACGAGAGCAGGACGGACGGCAGAGAUCAUCGUCCGCAUACUACGUUGCAUCCGCCUCUCCGCAGAGACCCUUUUCUGCUCUCCCACAUAGUCGUCCUCGACUCCCCGUCACACGUGCGGCAAUUUUGGGGUUUCUUUACCGGUUUCGGAGGGGAGAGCCAACGAGGCCAUCGGGGUUUCACCGAUCGCUCCCGGUUGUUACGAUCUCUCCUCCUCUUUCAAGAAUCCAUGUCGGAGGCUUCACUUUCUUUGGAUUUUCCGCGGAAAGAUGUACCCGUCUUUCUCGAAGAUGGUGAAGGUGGUUCGGUGAUCGAACACAGAAACAACUGCAAGGCGCCUGGUUGAUUGCGGUGAUUAUGAUGGGGAUUUGUAUCGAGAGGAUCCUCUGGAGUCCGAAGGUGGGUUUGGGAAUAUCAUUGUGGUGGGCAAUCUGCCGGUGAUGCCGCUGGAAAACUUUGCGAAGCUCGAAGGUGUAAGAUGUACGAUCAAGAAACGGGAGGCUCGAAUAUUCAGGGAAAGACGAAUGGACUCUACGUUGGACAAAUCAUAUGCAUGAUGUUGAUCUGUUUGGUGACUUCAAGAAGUACAUGAUGAUUCCAGAUGAGUGGAAAUCUGCUGAAAUUAGAUCAAACAAACCUGGGUUGUUCUAUGUAAUUUGUUGCUUAUUCCCCUCUUCACUAUUGGACUAAGAGCUCUAUCCAGUGGCCUCUUCUACUUUUCAUUGUUUGAUGCGUUUUGCCUAUUCUCAGUUUUCAUGGCAUUCCUGGACUUCCACCACUCGAGGAUGCUGUUGAGGAGGCUGAGAUCGUUAGGAACCGGAAGCACAGCGAGAAGUAUGAAGCAGAGGACCAGGAUGUCCCCAUGCAAUUGAACGAGCAGUAAGGUAAAAAGAGAUGAUGAUGUGAGGAACAGUGAAAUGAAUCAGGAACCAAAUGGAAGCAGUUGCGUUAGGAAGAGAGGUUGCUGAAGGGUUCAGUUGAGGGAUGAAGAGAGAAGGGGGUUAUGUACGCUGGUUGACUUGGUUCAGGAACCAAAAAUUAAUCUCCCUACUCCAUCUUGCAGUAGAUGGGACUAAUAUGCUGGUUGACUUGGUUCAGGACCAACCACUGGUGUCCGUUUUAAGGAUGGUGCACUCCAUGAACUACAGCGUGGUGCCAUUGUCAUCAUCACUCCACCAAUCGUGACUUCGCCAUCACGAAGGGCAAUCUCAGAAGUGACGGAGUGGUGCUGGUGAUGGGGGUUGAGGACAAGGUGCCUUCAGUCACAAGACCGACAUGCGCAUGGGACUUGCAUGCAUUAGGAGAGGAGAGGGUGGAUGUACGUUGAUGAUCACUACGGUGUCUUCGCUUGCCUUGGCUCUACAUUCUCUUGGUUUUUUGGUGGGUUUUGAAUUAGCGUAUUAGUAUGUUUAAUCGAUUUUAAAACUUAAUAUGUUUCAAAAAUCGAUUGAUCAAACUAAGUAAAAAGGAUAAAAUUAACUCUGGACAAUUAAAUAGCGGCAAAUCGAUGUAUAGUAGUUUAAUUUUUUAUUUAUAUAUUAAAGAUUUUGAUAAUGAAAUCAAUUGAUGAGCUUAAGAAAAAUAGUAUAAGAAAUAUUUCGAUCACAAACUUAAACCAUCGAAAGGUCAAUUGUUGAGUAGAAGUGUUGAAUGUUAUGUUGAGAAAUUAUUAUGUUGAAAAUUGAAUGUCGAGUCAAAGAAUUGAUCGUUGAUCGUGUAGGUGUCGAAAGUUUUAUAAAUGUACUGAUUUAAGUGUAA